rnacentral:rRNA from 1 species
UACCGAGGGUGCAAGCGUUGUUCGGAAUUAUUGGGCGUAAAGGGCGCGUAGGCGGUGCGGUAAGUCACCUGUGAAAUCUCCUGGCUCAACUGGGAGCUUGCAGGCGAAACUGCCGUGCUGGAGUGUGGGAGAGGUGCGUGGAAUUCCUGGUGUAGCGGUGAAAUGCGUAGAUAUCAGGAGGAACACCUGUGGCGAAAGCGGCGCACUGGACCACAACUGACGCUGAGGCGCGAAAGCUAGGGGAGCAAACAGG